rnacentral:tRNA from 4 species
AAAACUUAAGAAAGAAUUUUUAUUCUAUUAAUUU